rnacentral:rRNA from 1 species
CUAAGCCAUGCGAGUCUUUGCAGUAAUGCAAGGCAUACGGCUCAGUAACACGUAGUCAACUUACCCUAUGGACGAGGAUAAUCUCGGGAAACUGAGCAUAAUACUCGAUAGAUCAUAAUGCCUGGAAUGGUUUAUGGUUGAAAUGAUUCGUCGCCAUAGGAUGGGACUGCGGCCUAUCAGCUUGUUGGUGAGGUAAUGGCCCACCAAGGCGAUUACAGGUACGGGCUCUGAGAGGAGAAGCCCGGAGAUGGGUACUGAGACAAGGACCCAGGCCCUAUGGGGCGCAGCAGGCGAGAAAACUUUGCAAUGUGCGAAAGCACGACAAGGUUAAUCCGAGUGAUUUCUGCUAAAGAAAUCUUUUGCCAGUCAUAAAACCACUAGUGAAUAAGGGGUGGGCAAGUUCUGGUGUCAGCCGCCGCGGUAAAACCAGCACCUCAAGUGGUCAGGAGGAUUAUUGGGCCUAAAGCAUCCGUAGCCGGCUUUGUAAGUUUUCGGUUAAAUCCAUGUGCUCAACGCAUGGGCUGCCGAAAAUACUGCAUAGCUAGGGAGUGGGAGAGGUAGACGGUACUCAGUAGGAAGGGGUAAAAUCCUUUGAUCUAUUGAUGACCACCUGUGGCGAAGGCGGUCUACCAGAACACGUUCGACGGUGAGGGAUGAAAGCUGGGGGAGCAAACCGGAUUAGAUACCCGGGUAGUCCCAGCUGUAAACGAUGCAGACUCGAUGAUGCAUUG